GGGUUGACACUCUGGGUGGCAUAAGCUUCAUCACCUCCUGGACUUCUGUGAUCUUGAAUUAAGUCAUGUCCUUUGUAACGCUGAGUUUCCUCUUGUGUAAAAUGGGAGGAAGCUUUCCUUGAUGGGCUACCUUGGAGAUGGCAUGGAAUCUUGUACAUGAAAGCCCUCCUUUAUAAAGUCUAUGUAUAUAUCAGUCAGUAUUGCUAGUCCCCGAUCAUCUGCUUUAUUGUAAUUGGCCUUCCUUUCCCUGCUUCGUUUGUGGUUAUAUCUUUCCCUUUAUUAUGAACCACCAGAGUUGGAAAGAAUGGCAUCUAGAUUGCCUAUGGAGUCAGGAAACUUUUCUCUAGGUACAAAAAGCUCUGUUUUUGAGAUAGGUUACAGUGGUCAUUUGAUGGGUCAUUAAUAAUCUUUGGGCUUGGUGAAAUCGACAGAGAAGGCUAUAAGUCACUCCACAGGGUUGCAGUGGGACAGCUAGGCUCAUAGGACCUGAUGUAUGAACUACUCCAUGUGAUUAACUUUGACAGGUAACUUCAGGCCAGCUGGCAAGCUGAAGAGCAUUUUAAGUACAAAUAAUAGUUCUAGGUAUGCCGUGAGUGAUAGAAUAAUGGUUGUGUGGAACAGAGUCCUUUAAUCUUCCCCUGUGUAAAGAAAUCUGGUUUCCCUUUAAGGCCAGGAUAUCGCAACAAAAUCAUCUAACAAGAUAUCUCACAUCUUCAUUUUAUCAAGCCUAUAUCAAAUAGAGAACUGACCCCCAGGGCCAGGCUCAUUCAUCUCAGGCUGCAAAGGGCCUAGCAUGGUGCCUCACAGCAAUUUAGUAAUAACAACAAUAGUAUCAGUUAUGAUGAUGGAUACAAUUGCACCAUAUUCAUCCCAAUGGCUACAGAUUUACGAAGUACUCAGUCAUCCACUGAGAUAGGUCUUAUUGUCCCACUUAAUAGAUGAUGAAACUGAGGCUCAGAAUAGUGAAGCAAGUUCCCAGUUAUAUACACACCAAUGAGUGGAUGCCUGAUCUUAGAAUUCCUGGCCAGAGUUCUUUCUAAUAAACAUUUCUAAAGUUGAAUGGAGUAGGACAAAGAGUUUUCAGAUGACAUAAUCUCUCAAUGAGUAUUUUUUUUCUCAUUGGUUGAUUCUGGAGAUCCUCAACUUCCUGAGGAUGAGAGAGGCCCUUUAGGGAAGAUAUCAUAAUCUGUUUUCAGGGCCAUUUUGUAAUAAGAUGUGCUCUCUUCUUUUUCUUAAUGGUACUGCAAAUGUCAAAGCUAUUGAUGUGAUUUCACCUACUAUUGUCUUCUUUUGGUGGUCUGAAAUAAUUAAUCAUUAUUGCUCUUACCCUAAUGUGGUCUUCAAGAUCGAGAAAUGUUUCACUCUUGAGAACACAUUGAAAUCCAAUGAAAAACAUGGACAUCCUGGGCAGAGAGUCAUCCUAUAUUGAUGACUAUAAGCAGAUGCUAACCCUGCAUAAUGUUGUUGAGUUUGGCAUGGGGACCUAAGCAAAGGAAAUUAAACUCUGGAAAGAGUUUGCAAGCAUUAAAAAAUGGCACUUUCCUUUGCACAUCCACCAUGGCUUCAUGAGCUGCACCUCCUCUCCCUGCUUUGGCAAAGCAAAGCUCUACAAAGAAACUGGACACCAGGGACCUUAUUAUCUAUGUUAGCAUAAAAUUUGGUAACAUUGACCUCUUAGGGUUAGCAUGGAAAAUGCUAGCUUUUCACUCUAGGAGCUUAAUUCCUCUUUCCCUGGUUUUUGUCAUAUUUGCAAAUUUCAUUUGCAUCUUCCUUUCCCAUGGUUUUCCAAAGUCCAGACUGAGACUGGAGCUGUUGUUUCCAUUCAGGUGAAAAGUACAACCACAACUGACCAUCUGCACUGGCAUACAGUCAGGCGAUUGGCCAAGGAAACAAUUUGGAGAUUCCAAUCUGAUCCUCUCCCAUGUGAUCCCUUGUACCCAUUCUCUUUCUGUACCACACACAAUAAACUUGGAGAAUGUCAAGUAAUCCAUGUGUUUCCGAUUUGUGUCUUGAAAAACCUGUAUGAUUGUUCAGACUGAACUAUCAAUACACCCUUUCCCUUAUUGUCAACCUAUUGGUUAUUGCCCAUUUUGUAAGCAACAGUGCCUUAAGGCCAAAAUUGCACAGCACUAUCAAAAGAGCUACCAGAGAAAUCUCAUUUCAAUGCACUUAGCUUUAGUUUCAUUAUGCAACACUUAUUUCCUGAGUUUAAGCAUAAACCCAAGAUGGUCACCAUUAUGGCAAUUUUUCCAUUACCUUAUUACUACCUGUUAGUAUUCAGAUAUUUAAAAAUAUACCAAAGACCAAUUUUUAAAUAUCCUUCUCAUGGCAGACACUUUGCCUAUGAGAAAUCUGAAACGCAUUUGAGUUUAUACUUCUGUCUAAUUUAAAUAUUUUAUUCUCUAUUGAAAUGUCAUCUGUAUUUAAAAAUCUUCCCCAGGAAUUCUGAUGCACAUCCAGGUUUAGGAACCUUUUAUUUUUAUCCUUUCUGAUAAUCAACACAUGCAAUAUGGCAUUGGUGUGAUGGUAAUAGUUAUAUAGCAGAGUGUUUUCCAGAAUAUUAAAGAGACUAAUUUACAAAAAUCAUUCAGGUGUGUAUCACACCAGCAGUAUUCACCAUGUUGCCAAGAAGUCAUCCUGAGCUGUCUGCUAGCACAGUGAGAAGCUAUUUCAAGGUCUCUUCUCAAGAGACUCCCAGGCUGGUAGUGCAAACUAAAUCAAGAUGAAGCUAAUUGCUGAGCUCUAUUACUGGAGCGGAAAAUAUUGCACCAUCUUUGUUUAAGACUGAAUCUCCAUGACAACGCCAGUUAAGAGGCUGGGCUAAUAUUCUUCCUUUCCUUACUUAUAGAGCCACAAGUCAUAGCCUUUUGUGGGCAAAAUGAGUUGAUACAUCCUUAGGCGACCAUUUCAAGCUCCUUGGAAGGGCAACUCUGAAUUUGUUUAUCCAGGAAAUCCUCAAAGGGAUUACUGUUUUCAAACUUCUGUUGAUGAUUUUCAUGCUUUCCUGCCCAAUGAGGUACUGAGGACUGUCAGAAUAACCAUUGCUCCAAAUACCACUGCUAUUAAAAAUUCACUGUGAUUUUAGAAAGAGGCAAACUUGUGCACAGGUUAAGACGGAGGGUUAACCUGUGCACCAGGUCUUAGCACUUAGUCCUGGGUGCUAAGCCCUGCUUUGCCCUGUUCUCUAUUGUGAUGUGAGCACACAACUUAUUAUCUAUGCUUAUUUUUUUCUCUUCUUCCAGAUGAGUGUAAUAUUUGUAACUACCUUAUAGGGUUGUGUACAUUAAUUAGUGCAUGUAAUUAUUUAAAGCAAUGCUUGUUAUGUAAUAUAAUGGUCAAUAAUUUGUUGAUACCCUUAUUAUGAGUAUCACCGAGCAAUCAAUAUAGUAGCCACUAGCCACAUGUGGCUAUUAGUUUGGGGUUAGUAGAUGCAAACUAUGACAUUUAGAAUGGAUAAACAAUGAGGUCCUACUGUACAGCACAGGGAACUAUGUCCAGUCUCUUGGGAUAGACCAUGAUGGAAAACAGUAUAAGAAAUGUGUGUGUAUGUGUGUGUGUGCAUGUACACACACACACACACACACACACACACACACAUAUAUAUAUGAUUGGGUCACUUUGCUAUACAGUAGCAACUGAUACAAUAUUAUAAAUCAACUGUACUAAAAUAAUUAAUUCAUUAGAAUUAAAUACAAUUUAAAAAAAUUGUUCCUCAGUUGCACUGGCCAUAUUCCGCAUGCAUACAUAAGCUUAUGACUACUCUAUUGGACAGAGAGAAUAGAGAAUAUGGAUAGCAUCUCAAAAAAUUCUACUGGGUGGCUGAGCCAUAACCUAGAGAAAAGAAAAGGAGGACUAGAACUUCCUUUAGAGAGGAGAUAUGUUUUAUUCUCAGCAAUCUGCUGAUUGUGAAAAUAUUCUACAGACUCUCUGGGAACACUGAGCCCCAUUUCUUUUGUAGCGCCUAGUAAAUUGUGCUUUGCAUUGUGGACUGUGCGAUUAAUAUUAACAAAACAAAAAUAUUUUCCAGAAACAUUUCUCUCUCAGUUGGGAGAAAAGAUUCCCCAUUCCUUUUAUACACUAUUUAAAUUUCUCUGUAUUUAAGGAUUCUGUAGCUGCACAUAAUUCUUGAAAAGCAGGCAAGGUGGCUACUUUGUAGUCAUCAUGUGUCUCAUAGUAGAACUCUGCAGCUAGUGGAGAGAAUGAUUUCCUUAAUCACCACCCAAAGGGAAGCCAUGUGCAUGUUUACUUGUCAUGCCAAUGUUGCUCAGCAAUGGAAAAUACAAGUUAAAUAUUCAAAGAUAGAAACCCAGGCAGCAUGUUUCUACCACUUUUCACCUGUGUGUGGUCAAUUCUGGAAUUCUAACAUUGGCUGGAAAAUGCUAGGUCCAUUUCCUUGGAAUCAAAUUAACAUGUAUUAUUUGCCCUAUGACUGGUCAGUCACUGACAUCACUGCCUGGCAGGUACUUUGAGAAUGUUUGAGAAUGAGGGGGAAAUACAAGUACAAAGCAAAAGAUGUCUACAGUUCCAACAAGCCAAAGUUUUAUGUGAAUCUUAAACAGUUAGUGAUGUUAUGCAUUGUCUAGAGGGGUCUCUGCUAUCUGUUUAUAUUUUGGGAGAAUCUGUAAUGUAAAACUAGCAUGGGAAACUAAGAACUAGAGCCAGUAUAGUAUACUUGAUCCCAUACCAGCUCUAUCAAGCUGGUUGAGUACACUACAGCCCAGGAGGGACCUCUCCCAGCAUCUCUGAUGCUCAUUCCAAAACUCAAGCUGUAAAAGGGCUGCAUGGAAUUCCUGGCAGCCUGGUGGUUACAGAUUUGGCAUUGUCAUUGCCAUGGUGCAGGUUCAUUCCCUGGCCCAAGAAAUUCCACAUGCCGUGGGUGUGGACAUUUUUUAAAAAAACAAGGGUGCAUAAGGGAUUGAGAAAGCAAAAUUUUGAGCUUUCAUUCAAGUUAUACAUUUUUUAAGUAUGAAAUUGAUUAUAUUGAUUAUAUUGAUCACUACAUACUUUAAAUAAAAGUAUUAAUGAGUGCAGAAAGGAUUUUUAAAAAUCACACACUUAAGAAGUUCCCUUAUGGAGAAGUGGACUAACAAUCCCGAGUUGUCACUGUACCAGCUUGGGUCGCUGUGGUGGCAUGGGUUUGAUCCCUGGCUUAGGAAUUUCUACAUGCUGCCAGUGCCCUGACUCCCUCAAAAAAAAAAAAAA
rnacentral:lncRNA from 1 species